UGACUGAACUUGUGUUUCGUCACCUCCCUCCGGGGAGAAGGAAGCGGUUUUUGUGGAUGUUCUUUGUCCGCUUCUCAAAACGCCCUCCAAGCCACUCCGGUGAUGAGGAGAGGAAACAAAAACUUGUC
rnacentral:telomerase_RNA from 1 species